UCGUCAGCUCGUGUCGUGAGAUGUUGGGUUAAGUCCCGCAACGAGCGCAACCCUUAUGACUAGUUGCCAGCAUUUAGUUGGGCACUCUAGUAAGACUGCCGGUGACAAACCGGAGGAAGGUGGGGAUGACGUCAAAUCAUCAUGCCCCUUAUGACCUGGGCUACACACGUGCUACAAUGGAUGGUACAACGAGUUGCGAGACCGCGAGGUCAAGCUAAUCUCUUAAAGCCAUUCUCAGUUCGGACUGUAGGCUGCAACU
rnacentral:rRNA from 1 species